AAAGGAUGUGGCUGAACUCCGGCAGUACACCUGCAACUGACAUGGGCGAGAAAGGAGGAGCCCUGACUCAGGGCUGAGGUGCAGCCAGUGUACAUGGGGGAGGCUGUUUCAGUUGUUAAAACACUGUAAUUCUUCAUUACUGAAUGAGAAAUCUUUUGGUACUUUCCCUGCCCAUCCAAGUGAGCAACAUGGCAAGUGAAAGCUCUCUGUGUGGAAUUCACAACACAUGGGUCCCAGCUUUAUCACUGGCUGGCUGCUCUCGGGUAUCCACUGCUGCACAAUCAAUCUCCCAAAAAGCUCAGCAGCUUAAAACAACCAUCGUUCGUAGCCAUGUGUGGAGAUGGAUGUUAACUAGACCUACUGUGAUGACGAUGUCGCUAUAUACACAAUGUAAAAUCAUUAUGUUGUAUACCUGAAACUAGCAA